rnacentral:rRNA from 1 species
UGGGGAAUUUUGGACAAUGGGCGAAAGCCUGAUCCAGCAAUGCCGCGUGUGUGAAGAAGGCCUUCGGGUUGUAAAGCACUUUUGUCCGGAAAGAAAUCCUUGGCUCUAAUACAGUCGGGGGAUGACGGUACCGGAAGAAUAAGCACCGGCUAACUACGUGCCAGCAGCCGCGGUAAUACGUAGGGUGCAAGCGUUAAUCGGAAUUACUGGGCGUAAAGCGUGCGCAGGCGGUUUGCUAAGACCGAUGUGAAAUCCCCGGGCUCAACCUGGGAACUGCAUUGGUGACUGGCAGGCUAGAGUAUGGCAGAGGGGGGUAGAAUUCCACGUGUAGCAGUGAAAUGCGUAGAGAUGUGGAGGAAUACCGAUGGCGAAGGCAGCCCCCUGGGCCAAUACUGACGCUCAUGCACGAAAGCGUGGGGAGCAAACAGGAUUAGAUACCCUGGUAGUCCACGCCCUAAACGAUGUCGACUAGUUGUUGGGGAUUCAUUCCUUAGUAACGUAGCUAACGCGUGAAGUUGACCGCCUGGGGAGUACGGUCGCAAGAUUAAAACUCAAAGGAAUUGACGGGGUCAUAGCUGUUUCCU